UGCCAGACUCCUACGGGAGGCAGCAGUGAGGAAUAUUGGUCAAUGGGCGGGAGCCUGAACCAGCCAAGCCGCGUGAAGGAAGAAGGCGCCAGGCGUCGUAAACUUCUUUUGUCGGGGAACGAAGGGCGCCACGCGUGGCGUUGUGAGUGUACCCGAAGAAAAAGCAUCGGCUAACUCCGUGCCAGCAGCCGCGGUCAUACGUAGGAUCCGAGCAUUAUCCGGAGUGACUGGGUGUAAAGAGUUGCGUAGGUGGCAUAGUAAGUAGCUAGUGAAAUCUGGUGGCUCAACCAUUCAGACUAUUAGCUAAACUGCUAAGCUCGAGACCGUUAGGGGUAACUGGAAUUUCUAGUGUAGGAGUGAAAUCCGUAGAUAUUAGAAGGAACACUGAUAGCGUAGGCAGGUUACUGGGACGGUUCUGACACUAAGGCACGAAAGCGUAGGGAGCAAACGGGAUUAGAUACCCCCGUAAG
rnacentral:rRNA from 1 species